GUGCAUAGCUAGCACGAAGCUUUCUAUUCAACAGCUAAAGAAAAAACUGUCUCAUGCACCCACAAUAACGAAAGUAGUAGUAUACACCGACAAACAGUAUACUACACUCAGGGUUGCUUGAGAGUGCAGCCCUAAGUGGGUGGUAAACUCCAUCUAAGGCUUAAUAUUACCGCGAGACCGAUAGCGAACAAGUACCGUGAGGGAAAGUUGAUAAGAACUUUGAAGAGAGAGUUCAACAGUACGUGAAACCGCUCAGGGGUAAACCUGCGAAAAAAAGGCAAAAAAAAAUUGAAACAGUUCUCCUUUGAAAGAAUACAAGGAGUGCAUAGCUAGCACGAAGCUUGCUAUUCAACAGCUCAAAAGCAGAUGAAUGAACUCUGCCAGAGUAGAGAUGACUGACAGAGAUGACAAGACAAGAUUUACUUAUAGAGCUAAACAAAGAGCUUAUAAGUUCUAUCAAUUUGCCAAAGGUAUUUUCAUCAAUCGAGA
rnacentral:ncRNA from 1 species